AUUGAACGCUGGCGGCAGGCUUAACACAUGCAAGUCGAGCGAGUGGCGGACGGGUGAGUAAUGUCUGGGAAACUGCCCGAUGGAGGGGGAUAACUACUGGAAACGGUAGCUAAUACCGCAUACCAUCAGAUGUGCCCAGAUGGGAUUAGCUAGUUGGUGGGGUAACGGCUCACCAAGGCGACGAUCCCUAGCUGGUCUGAGAGGAUGACCAGCCACACUGGAACUGAGACACGGUCCAGACUCCUACGGGAGGCAGCAGUGGGGAAUAUUGGACAAUGGGCGCAAGCCUGAUGCAGCCAUGCCGCGUGUAUGAAGAAGGCCUUCGGGUUGUAAAGCACUUUCAGCGGGGAGGCGUUACUCGCAGAAGAAGCACCGGCUAACUCCGUGCCAGCAGCCGCGGUAAUAC
rnacentral:rRNA from 1 species